UUUGUUUUUUCUAUCGUGUUCUAUAAUGGUGGAUCCUUGGCUAACCCUCUUCCUGAUUCCUCUUCCUGAUUGCCCCUGUGAUCCUGCUGUAGCUGUUGACGCCGCUGUUCAACCUGCUGCCGCGCGGUGACCCUGUGCCACCGGACUUUGUCACGACGUCGCCUCCCCAGUCCGACUCCCUCCUUCCUUCCCAGCCUCUUAGCCGCUGGUAAGUACCAAAAUGGAACCCCCUAGACUCUAUCGGACAUCAGUGUUGCUGAGAUGUUCUAAGACAGCAAAUUUAGAAAAGUAUGCGACUUUAUAUGUGUGAUGCUUUUUUUCUUCUGAAUGUGCUGUUCGAGUCAUGGAAUCUAAAAUACUCUCAUGAUAGAAUAAUUUCCUAGCAGUCAGCAUAAGUGGUUCAGAAAAAACCCCCUCCAGUUUCAGUUACUUAUUGUACAAUUAGCAAUUGAUGAUUACUCAAUUAGCAAACAAACUGUUGGAAAAUAAUGCCAUAUUUGUGGAUUCAAAAUUCAAACUUGGGUGCUCUUCUGCUUAUUUCCUUCCUUUUGGUUAUACUCUGGUCCAUGUGGAGGAGAAUGUUCUUGCACCAUCUCCUCGUUCUAAUUACUUGGUGAGAAACUGCAUGCAAAUCGUCAGAUGCCAAUGACAUUAUACUCUGGUUUGUUGCAAUUGGGUUAAAUCGGCGAGUUUUUAAUUUUUUUCUUUAUAAUUCGGUGGAGAGUUUUUCUAAUGCGAAGCUAUUGAUAAAAUUCGGUGAUAUCUAUGGGUACGUGACUAAGCCUGUUGAGACCCGGGUUUGAUGUAGUGCUGUAAUUGUUUGCAGUUCUAUAUACCCCUUUUCCAUCUAAAUUUAACUCGACUAUCUUCACACAAAGUUCACUCAAAAUUCUACAUCAUGUCUGCAUGCAGACCUCUGUUUAUGGUGAGAACAGACAUUGUGUUCAUUUCUUUUCCAUGUCUAUCCCAUAUUAUACUUUAUUAUGGAUUGUCAUUUAGCCAGUUUAAGCCAUUCAUUUUUUCGUCGUGCUUACAGGUUGUUUACAAGCAUAAAAUUGUGCUAUUUGGUGUUUUUUACGACAGUAAUAUGGAAGUGAGGUCAAUAAAAUUAAUUUGUAUGUAACUCUCGUUGUUGGUGUGGGUGAUAUGAUUACAUGGGUAAUAUUUUUCUUAAGAUCUUGUUCAAGGGAACUGGGAACAUAAAUUCCAGAAAAUUAUGAGUUAUGGAUCACUUGGAUAGUGCUAAAUUCUUACAGCUCAUAAUUCAGAAAGCGAUGCAAAAUAAAUUGAUAGUUAGAACAUCUUCUGAAUUACAAUGGUCUCUACAUGUUUGAUUUGGACCAUUUCAAGGUGGUGCUGAACUUCAUUUAGUACUGCAAGCUACAUAUUCUCUCUUAGUAUCACUUUGUCCUCUAAUUGUGUUGUUGUUGUUUUUUUGCUUCCAUAGCACUCUUAUUCAUUGUAAUAACUUAAUAUAUCAUUUGGGAUAAUCAGACCUUACUCUGUGAUGUUCUUUGUCCUUGUCUUUUGACAAAGUUGUCUGGUCGGUGGACCUGAUCAGUUUAAUUGGUGAUGGAAUAGUCAUUCCUUUUUAGUGUACAAUAGCUAUUGUAGCAUGAUUUUCGUACCACAUCUAUUUUUCGUAUGUUUUGGCAGGAAUUGUUCCAUUCCUUAGCAAUGUUCCACACCUGAGGCAGUUGUCACACUGAAUGAACCCAAUGAAACUCGGGUUCCAACAUCAACAUCCCUAUACCAGCUAAGUGUUCCUUUACCUCAUCUUCUAGCUGCAGGAAUAAAUAAACUCAUCUGAAUUAUAGUUGUUAUCACUAGACUGAGAGAACUAUAUGCUAUGUUCUAACAUAAUUAUCUAUAUCUUAAGCUUAAUAGUUAAUACCACACUCAGCACCCGUUUGGAUAUCAAAGUAUCCAACAUGUCUGAAUAUUGCAGUUAUUAGGGGCUGUUUGGAUGGAGCCUGGCAGGCAGUGUGUGCCCAGGCAUCGAUAUCCACCCUAGGCCGACAACACCGUGCAUCUAGAUCUUAAAAGCCAUUAUUUUGCAGGCCAAACAUUAUGAUUGUGUCAUACAGUGCUUCUGCAUAUUAGCAUGGUUGUUGAAAUAAUUAUCUGUUUUGGGGAUAAAGAAGUUAUUCAAUGAUGCCAGAUUUGCCUUACAUCUUUACACAAGAAUUCUGAUAUUUAUGGUUAGUUAGCACUCUUGCUAGGUGGAGUUCUUUCAAUAUAUGCAGUCUGACCUCUCAACUCUCAUUGUAUAUUUGAACAGCUUUUCGUAGGUAUAAACAGAAUAUUGGAAAGGAGAAGAAGAAAGAUAUCAGGAAGGAUAGUGCUGAUCCAGCAAGGCAGCAACCACACUAAACUAUUGAAGACUACAGAGUCUAAUAUUUGAAGUAGCAGCUACGACCAAAUUCUCAAUGUGGCACAGGUGAAGCUUCGGGUCAGCAGAUUGCUUGGAAGAAGCAUACCUAAUUCAACUCUUCUGGCCGAGGAAUACACAUCAGUCAGACUAGGGUGACCACUUCAUCGAGGCAUAUUGAGUUAGCUCGUUUCAUGCGUCAAGAUUCCUUAAGCCGAGAUACUUUAUUUGAGCAAAAUAGCUUUUUUUUCUCAUACAACAAGGGUGAACGGUUAUAUUGCUGCUGAUGCUCUAGCUAAUAAUGUAAUGAACAUUUAAUUAAGAGUUAAUUCCAUUGAAUUAUAUUAUUAUAUUAUUAGUCAGUCAAGCAUGUUAGAGAUAUUUUAUAAUAAAUAUAAAUGUACAUGAAGUUAGAUA